GAUGAAGAACGUAGCGAAAUGCGAUACGUAGUGUGAAUUGCAGAAUUCCGUGAACCAUCGAAUCUUUGAACGCAAAUUGCGCUCGAGGCCUCGGCCAAGAGCAUGUCUGCCUCAGCGUCGGCUACUACCCUCAACUAAGUUCCCUAUAGUCAUAGGGGAUGCCGGUUGGAUCUGGCUGUCCGGAGGGCCUAUCAGGUUACCGGUCAGCUGAAAUACAUUCACGCUCUGGAGACUGCUUUCCUUUCGUGGAAAGGCAAGUUCCGAUUUGGUAGGUGACCUUUGCCGGUUACAUGCCUUCGUUGCUCGCUAAGUUUCCCAGUAUGCGUUGUGCAGGACGCCUUUUGGCUUUCGACCUGAGGUCAGGCAAGAACACCCGCUGAACUUAAGCAUAUCAAUAAGCGGAGGA
rnacentral:misc_RNA from 1 species